AUCAUAAGUGAGAAUGUUGACAUGAGUAGCGAUAAAGAGGGUGAGAGACCCUCUCGCCGUAAGUCCAAGGGUUCCUGCUUAAAGCUAAUCUGAGCAGGGUAAGCCGGCCCCUAAGGCGAGGCCGAAAGGCGUAGUCGAUGGGAACCACGUUAAUAUUCGUGGGCCAGGAGGAAGUGACGGAUCUCAAAGAUUGUCUGCCCUUAUCGGAUUGGGUGGGCCGUUCAGAGGUUCCAGGAAAUAGCCCUCCAUGAGACCGUACCCUAAACCGACACAGGUGGACUGGUAGAGUAUACCAAGGCGCUUGAGAGAACCACAUUUAAGGAACUCGGCAAAAUGCCUCCGUAAGUUCGCGAGAAGGAGGCCCUGUCUUUACGCAAGUAGAGGCAAGGGGCACAAACUAGGGGGUGGCGACUGUUUACUUAAAACACAGGGCUGUGCGAAGCCGUAAGGCGACGUAUACAGUCUGACGCCUGCCCGGUGCUGGAAGGUUAAAAGGAGGGGUGCAAGCUCUGAAUUGAAGCCCCAGUAAACGGCGGCCGUAACAAUAACGGUCCUAAGGUAGCGAAAUUCCUUGUCGGGUAAGUUCCGACCUGCACGAAUGGCGUAACGAUCUCCCCGCUGUCUCAAAUGUGGACUCAGCGAAAUUGAACUGUGUGUCAAGAUGCACACUACCCGCGGUUAGACGGAAAGACCCCAUGCACCUUUACUCCAGCUUUGCACUGGUAUCAGGAUUGUGAUGUGCAGGAUAGGUGGUAGGCAUCGAAGCGGGGACGCCAGUCUUCGUGGAGCCUCCCUGAGAUACCACCCUUCGCACUCUUGAUAUCUAGCCGCGGUCCCUUAUCGGGAUCCGGGACCCUGCAUGGUGGGGAGUUUUACUGGGGCGGUCGCCUCCCAAACAGUAACGGAGGCGCGCGAAGGUAGGCUCAGACCGGUCGGAAAUCGGUCGUUGAGUGCAAUGGCAGAAGCCUGCCUGACUGCAAGUCUGACAAGACGAGCAGAGACGAAAGUCGGUCAUAGUGAUCCGGUGGUCCCAAGUGGGAGGGCCAUCGCUCAACGGAUAAAAGGUACGCUGGGGAUAACAGGCUGAUGAUGCCCAAGAGUCCAUAUCGACGGCAUCGUUUGGCACCUCGAUGUCGGCUCAUCUCAUCCUGGGGCUGGAGCAGGUCCCAAGGGUAUGGCUGUUCGCCAUUUAAAGAGGUACGUGAGCUGGGUUUAGAACGUCGUGAGACAGUUCGGUCCCUAUCUGCCGUGGGUGUAGGAGAUUUGAGAAGAGUUGCCCCUAGUACGAGAGGACCGGGGUGAACGAACCACUGGUGGACCAGUUAUCGUGCCAACGGUAGUGCUGGGUAGCUAUGUUCGGACAGGAUAACCGCUGAAGGCAUCUAAGCGGGAAGCCCCCUUCAAAACAAGAUCUCCCUUGAGAGCCGUGGAAGACCACCACGUCGAUAGGCCAGAGAUGUAAGUGCAGCAAUGCAUUCAGUUGACUGGUACUAAUUGCUC
rnacentral:rRNA from 1 species